rnacentral:rRNA from 1 species
ACGCUCGACACCUACGGGAAGCAGCAGUUGGGAAUAUUGGACAAUGGAGGAAACUCUGAUCCAGUGACGCCGCGUGAAGGAAGAAGGUCUUCGGAUUGUAAACUUAUUUUGUCAGGGAAGAAAAAUGACUGUACCUGAAGAAAAAGCACCGGCUAACUACGUGCCAGCAGCCGCGGUAAUCUGAGCGGGCUGGCAAGGC